UGCAGUAUGGUGUUGGUUAUAUGCAGUCUCCUAGCAUGCCGAGGAACCAACCUUCUGUGUACUUUGGUCAACCUGAUUUAUCGAUGGGAUCUUCUGGAACUGCUGUUUACCCACAGUGGCCUACCCCAGCAAUUAUGUACCCCCAUUGCUAUGACAAUCUUGGCCAUGUGAUUUCUCAGGUAAGCCUGUUAUAUGAUUCUGCUGAGCUUGCAUAUCAUUUGUUUCAGUAUUUAACGAUAAUAUCAAGGUUAGGUUGUCUAAGUGCGUGUUCUAAUCAUGCAAGGUAGCCAUUUUGUUAUGGGUUCUAAAAAGUAGUAAACCAAUAUAUCACAUGCUUUUAGCCCUUUACAUAACUUGGCUUAAUCUGGCUGGUAGCACUUUGUUAUGCUCAUUGCAUCCAAGCAGGGUGGGAAUGUUAUAUAACAGCGAGUUCUUCCUCGUCAUGCCCAAGAUAGUACUGGUAGUGGCCGUAGUAGUUAUGAGUUAUGACCCCGUCGCAAACAAGGGGUAGCUAAGCUUUUCCCCUGAAGCUUGAAAGGUUCUUGAGCAAUCUGUUAAUAAAUAAGAAUGUUGUUGGGUGGUAUCUUGUUUGCUGCUGAAUCCAACCUUUCUCUCUUUUGUUCCCUCACAAUAACAAUGCUCAAUUCUAUACAAUGUUUGAUUCAAUUAUCAAGUUUAAUUUCGUUAUAUUGCUUGCCACAACAGUUGCUCACGUGAUGGUCCUUUGGUGGUUUAGCUAUUUGAAGUCGAAACAUAUCCUCCAAACAGCAAUUAUGGUCUCAAUUAUUAUGUGAAAUGUUUGUUAAUUGUAACAAACUCCCAACUUUAUUUUCAUGUCAUCGUUCUGAAGGACCGGUUCUUAAUGUUGCAGGUUCCGGUGUACCAGUCCUUCAACCAUGGUUAGGAGAUGCUACUUCAUGGGAUGUUGGAACAAAAUUAUUUAAAACCUGCUAUGUCGUGUUGUCUUGUUAAGUGCGUCUAUUUUGGAGUCAGUUUUUCCCAUCAUCGAACUUCUGGAUGGUGUCAGCUAGGUGUAUAAGAAUUCUUAUUAUUGUUAUUGUGCACUAAUCUACAAACAGGGGCGCUUGUCUUUUGCUCGUUUACUUCUGUAUUUGGUUAAGCACUCGUUUACUCUAUUUGAUAUUCCUGUACAUCACUCCCUGCCUCGUACUGGUCUCUGAGGGCGCGUACAACAAUC
rnacentral:lncRNA from 1 species